GCUUCCUCUGGGAACAAUCACCCUUUCUCCCCCCCACCUUGGAUCGGAUCCCGAUGGAAACUCAUCAAGGCCUCCUAAGUGGUCAGAGAACCAUAGGUUUACAUCAGCUGGAGUGUUAACAGAAGGUUGUGGUCCUAAAGAAAGAAUUAAACCCGGUGAGUCUAGGCAGAACCAAAGGAAACCUCUGCAUACUAAAGAGUGAAAAGGCUUGAGGACAUCUUCAAAGGAAGGACACUUCCCCACUUCCCUCUGGUUUGAACUCAGAGGGACUUGAUGACAUAGUUCAACAAGAGAAAGAAGAAAACUGGCACCAAGAGCUUGCAAAAGGCCUGGCAGGUUUAUUCCAAGCACCAGCCACUUGUACCUAACAUGUAACCACAUAUUGCUAAGUACUUAAGACAACCUCGCUCUCAGAGGGUGGCUGUCAGAAUAACUUUAACUUUCUGAAUUUGCUAGUCUAGGUAAACACCUGCUACUGAUGAAGCAGAUGAGACAGGCAGAGGAAAGAUGUGACUUGCUGUAGAUUAUGAUCCAAGCAACUGAGACAGAAUGAAAAAGGUCUAAAAACCAGUUGACACAUCAUCUGUGAGUUGUGGCACAGAAAAAAAGACCUCAAGAGUGUGAAAUAUCUGUGACAUAAAUGAGUAAAGUGGAUUGGCCACUUUUGGAUCAUUGACCUAAACUCAAUGGAGAGAAGCAACAAUGUUUUUUUCUCUUUGUUUUAAUUUAAGAUGUGUAAUUGAUCCUACCCAUUUUUGACAACUCUUUAAAUGUAGGGUGUUAGAUGACUCACAUCCUUAAACUGCCUGUCUCCCUCUGCUAAUUGUGAAAUGAGUCUUGGUUGCACCCCAGACAUUUGGGCAGAUGAGCACCUCUGUGGAUGCUGUAACUGAGGAUGUCUGUCUGUCUGUCUGAGCCCUAAGUGCACCUGGGGAUGGGGUCAGAGGGCUCCCUGUGGCAAUGCCCAUCCUCCCUUUGUGUCACCUCAGCAGCCCCAUGGUUCCCAGCCCUGCAGCUCCCACAGCACAGCCAUGGAAAGGUUCCUCUGCAGUGCUGGCAGUCACUGAAACUGAGAGGAUUAGGAAAGAAUAAAGAAAAUCCCUACUGCUUUUUGCCUCGGGGAAGCAUAGGACUGCAGGAAUGGACACACCAGGAUCAUCUUGAUUUAUAGAGUGGCAUCCUAGAUGGUCUCAUGUAUUUAAUCCUUUUGUGCCAGCUGGACGUUGAAAAGUCUGCACUGUAAAGUUGAAUUAUAUACUUAUAAGUCUAAUUAGAGAAAAAGGAGAUGCAAAAAAAAAAAAUGUUUAAGAUUCAUAAAAUCUAAAAUCUAUUUCCAUGUUACUGUAGAUAUUCCUAUAGCAAGUAUGAGAAAUAACAGUGAAAUGGGAAAUAAAAGCUAAACAUAGAAAUUUCAUUUUUUUGUCUUAUUAGCAUUAGAGAAAUAGCAGAAAAUAUUUUUGUAUAUGUUUUUGCUCUGACUGACACAUUCAUGUUCAAAUUUCGAUGUUGCUAACAGCCAUUCUCUCAGCAAAAAUGUAUUUUUGUGAAUAAAUUAUGUUAUU